AAACCCAACAAAACGGAGGAAAACGGGAUAAACAUAAAGGCCAAGGUUCCAAUAAUGAGUAUCAAGAAAAUACCAUGAACCUAGGUUCUUGGACUGAUUACCAGUAUAUCUAUCAUCAGACCAUGAAAUCAUAAUAGCUUCACGUUAGAAUUCAAGGGAUGAACGAGAAAACCCAAGUUCUUCCAAAAAUACGGGAAUCG
rnacentral:lncRNA from 1 species